GACGUAGGGGGCCAGCGUUGCUCGGAAUUACUGGGUGUAAAGGGUUCGUAGGCGGUGUGGCAAGUCGGGAGUGAAAUCUCUGGGCUCAACCCAGGGUCUGCUUCCGAAACUGCUGUGCUUGAGUGUGGGAGAGGCGCGUGGAAUUGCAGGUGUAGCGGUGAAAUGCGUAGAUAUCUGCAGGAACACCCGUGGCGAAAGCGGCGCGCUGGACCACUACUGACGCUGAGGAACGAAAGCUAGGGGAGCAAACAGG
rnacentral:rRNA from 1 species